UUAAGUUCAGCGGGUAUCCCUACCUGAUCCGAGGUCAACCUGAGAAAAAUUUCCCUGCAAAAGGGAGAAGACCGUGACUCGCCAACCCUUAUUCCAGUACGUGCUCAGUUAAGAAGCUCAGUGUACCGGGGGUCAGACAAAGCCGCCGUCGUUGUCUUUAGGAGGGGUCGGGCGACGCCCGACCAACCAUCCAAGGCCAA
rnacentral:misc_RNA from 1 species